AGCCCAAAACCUUUCUUUCCUCCACUCAGCCACAAUUUCAUCCCCAAAUCACCAGCCCAUUACCCUUUGCCUAUCCCUCUUGGCCUAACUCUUUCCCCUUUUCCCCUAAUUAAAUAAUAUCAAACAACAAUCCUAAACAAAUCAGCUGACCCAGCUCGUUCUAAUACCCCUUCUUCCCCUUCCAAAAAAACAAUAUCAACAACAAAACAAAAGAUACACACACAUCUACCAAAUCACGACAACAACCCAGCGACCAACAUCGAAAACCCAACUUGAGAUCCCAAAAUCCAACCCAUCCAAACCAACAGCGACCCGCAACCAACCCAUUUGUAGCCUUCUUCACACGUCCUACGCAAAUUCAUACAAAGAGGACUCAAGAACAUUCUACAACGAGCCUAGGUGUCAUCCCCCAAUGGCUAACCCAUAAAUCUGGAGAUAAUGGUACGAUUUAGUACAUAUUUAGGCGAUUUUUAUUGGUCGGAGAAAGGAUUUGGUUUUCCUCAAUUUUUAUUGGUCCACACAUCCUGAAUUAUUUAAGGAAAAUUCAAAAAUUUGUAUAAAUUUAGGGAUGAAAACCACAGAGGGGGAUGGGAAUUUUGCAUUUCAAAAAUAUCCCAUUUUUUACCCUCAAAAUUUGGUCUUAAUCAAGGGGUCCUCUAUAUAAGAGCCCACAGUGAAGCUUCUUAAGGGUUGAAGAUUUUGGUUCAGAAAAAACUAAGGGAGAAAAAGAAAAAGAAAGAAACUCUUAGAGAAAAACCAAUCUUUAGUAGAAAUUUUGCUUUUUCACAAGUUUGUCGGCUAAAUUAGAGCUUCGAGUUAAUGGUGAAGACAUUUUUCGGUGGUUGCGAGUCCGACGUUUGCUCGAGGUUCUGUUUUGGUACUCCCAUAGUCCAAAGGGACUCUUUCCCUUUGCAUUUUGUAAUGGGCCAACAUGGCCCAUCUUUUGAGUCAAGCCCCGAAAGAAAGUCCAAAAUGAGUUACGUGGAAUGUAAAUGCAAGGAGUCGAAAGAAGAAGAAAUGGAUUGAAGUCCCAUAUUUGAAGCAGCGAAGAGACUCAAAAGUCUCAUUUAUUAUUAUUAUUAUUAUUUUCUUAUUGUUGUCUUUAUUUAUUUAUUCAUUCAUUCAGACCACAAAUGCCAAAGUUGUAAAUUUAAUACAGGUAGAGCAAAACUAGAGUCAAACGCUCGAAAUCUAGAUUAGGAUAGGUGAAAUGGGUCGAAAGCCCAAUUAGAGAGGACAUGGUUCGUUGUUUUGGGUCUAAUGGUCUAAAUCUCUUACUUUCUUA